CCUACGGGAGGCUGCAGUGGGGAAUAUUGCACAAUGGGCGGAAGCCUGAUGCAGCGACGUCGCGUGAGGGAUGGAGGCCUUCGGGUUGUGAACCUCUUUCGCCAGUGAGGAAGGCCUUGCCCGUGUGGUGGGGUUGACGGUAGCUGGGUUAAUUGAAGCGCCGGCUAACUACGUGCCAGCAGCCGCGGUAAUACGUAGGGCGCGAGCGUUGUCCGGAAUUAUUGGGCGUAAAGGGCUUGUAGGCGGUUGGUCGCGUCUGCCGUGAAAUCCUCUGGCUCAGCUGGGGGCGUGCGGUGGGUACGGGCUGGCUUGAGUGCGGUAGGGGAGGCUGGAACUCCUGGUGUAGCGGUGGAAUGCGCAGAUAUCAGGAGGAACACCGGUGGCGAAGGCGGGUCUCUGGGCCGUUACUGACGCUGAGGAGCGAAAGCGUGGGGAGCGAACAGGAUUAGAUACCCGGGUAGUC
rnacentral:rRNA from 1 species